ACUGACUUGUAAUCAGAAGGUUGGGGGUUCGAUUCCCUUUAUCAGUU
rnacentral:tRNA from 1 species